UCGUACGCGCUGGGACCACCAGGUUAGGGUGGUCGCGGCCACGCGGUGUGGAGCGUUUGUAUGAUCUGUGCAGAGAGGAGAGAACAGGGAUAGACAGACACAUAGUUGACAGGCUACAGAAAAGGCUACGCUAAUGCAAGGAAAUUGGAAUGACAAGCGGACUACACGUCUCGAAUGUUCAGAAAGUUAAGCUUACGUAGCAAGAAUCUUAUUGACUAAAAUGAUUAAAAUGAUACAGUACUGCUAAAGUAGGCUAGCUGGCAGUAGCUGCGUUGUUGACACUACACUAAUCAAGUCGUUCCGUUGAGUGUAAUAAUUCUACAGUGCUGCUAUUCGGGGGCUAGCUGGCUAGCUAGCAGUGUUGUUUACGUUACGUUGAGUUAAAAGAACGACAAUAGCUGGCUAGCUAACCUAGGAAAUCGGUCUAGACUACACAAUUAUCUUUGAAACAAAGACGGCUAUGUAGCUAGCUACGAUCAAACAAAUCAAACCGUUGUACUGUAAUGAAAUGAAAAUGUGAUACUACCUGACCGGUGAUUGAAUUCGAGACAGUAGACGUUGGCUAGCUGUUAGCUGUUAGCUGUUGGCUAGCUAGCAGAGUCUCCUACGUUAAGGACGACAAAUAGCUGGCUAGCGAACCUCAGUGAAUUAACAUAAUCACUCCAAGGCUACACACACUAAACUACACAAUUAUCUUGGAAACAAAGACAGCUAUGUAGCUAGCUAACACUGAACUAAUCAAGUCGUACAGUUGAGUGAAUAGCACUACAGUGAUGCUAAUCUGUGUGCGUUAGCUAGCGUUGCUAGCUCCUGGGCGAAUAGCAGUGAAGGCUACGUUAGGGCGACGAAAUACGAAAUACGAUAAUUAUGCAAUUAUCUCUGAUACAAGGACGGCUAUGUAGCUAGCUAAGAAGAAUGGCUAAGAUUAUGUAGCUAGCUAACAGUAAACUAAUCAAGUCGUACAGUUGAGUGAAUAGCACUACAGUGAUGCUAAUCUGUGUGCGUUAGCUAGCGUUAGCUAGCUCCUGGGCGAAUAGCAGUGAAGGCUACGUUAGGGCGACGAAAUACGAUAAUUAUGCAAUUAUCUCUGAUACAAGGACGGCUAUGUAGCUAGCUAAGAAGAAUUGCUAAGAUUAGAGAUGUGAUUGUGUAUCAAUGUGAUCAUAAACAGAGAGAUGUGAUUGUGUAUCAAUGUGAUCAUAAACAGAGAGAUGUGAUUCUGUAUCAAUGUAAUCAUAAACAGAGAGAUGUGAUUCUGUAUCAAUGUAAUCAUAAACAGAGAGAUGUGAUUCUGUAUCAAUGUAAUCAUAAACAGAGAUAUGUGAUUGUGUAUCAAUGUAAUCAUAAACAGAGAGAUGUGAUUGUGUAUCAAUGUAAUCAUAAACAGAGAGAUGUGAUUGUGUAUCAAUGUGAUCAUAAACAGAGAUAUGUGAUUCUGUAUCAAUGUGAUCAUAAACAGAGAGAUGUGAUUCUGUAUCAAUGUGAUCAUAAACAGAGAGAUGUGAUUGUGUAUCAAUGUGAUCAUAAACAGAGAGAUGUGAUUGUGUAUCAAUGUGAUCAUAAACAGAGAGAUGUGAUUGUGUAUCAAUGUAAUCAUAAACAGAGAGACGUGAUUCUGUAUCAAUGUAAUCAUAAACAGAGAGAUGUGAUUCUGUAUCAAUAUAAUCAACAUUUGAAAUUAUUAUGUUUUUAUUAAAUAUAAAAUCUGUUUGGGAUUUUUGCGUCCAUUUGUAAUCUCCAAAUGAAUUGGUCUUAUGUUCUGGCUCUC